CGCGUAGGUGGCUCCAUAAGUUGGAUGUGAAAUCCCAUGGCUUAACCAUGGAAUUGCAUCCGAUACUGUGGGGCUAGAGUAUGGUAGAGGGAAGUGGAAUUUCCGGAGUAGCGGUGAAAUGCGUAGAUACCGGAAGGAACACCAGUGGCGAAGGCGGCUUCCUGGACCAAUACUGACACUGAGGCGCGAGAGCGUGGGGAGCAAACAGGAUUAGAUACCCUGGUAGUCCACGCCGUAAACGAUGAAAACUAGCUGUUGGGUGUAUUUAUACACUUAGUAGCGCAGCUAACGCGAUAAGUUUUCCGCCUGGGGAGUACGGUCGCAAGGUUAAA
rnacentral:rRNA from 1 species